UUAACUCAAAUUUGUAUGGAGUUGGAACGUUUGCCUACGUUUGCCGCUAGGGGCGCUGUUCCAACUGCAUACAAAUUGAAGUUA
rfam:Bombyx mori DNA, contig: Bm_scaf357_contig42768, strain: p50T/Dazao, build 2, whole genome shotgun sequence.